AGUUUGAUCAUGGCUCAGAUUGAACGCUGGCGGCAUGCCUUACACAUGCAAGUCGAACGGCAGCACGGGAGCUUGCUCCUGGUGGCAAGUGGCGAACGGGUGAGUAAUACAUCGGAACGUACCCUGAAGUGGGGGAUAACGUAGCGAAAGUUACGCUAAUACCGCAUAUUCUGUGAGCAGGAAAGAGGGGGGAUCGCAAGACCUCUUGCUUUAGGAGCGGCCGAUGUCGGAUUAGCUAGUUGGUGAGGUAAAGGCUCACCAAGGCGACGAUCCGUAGCGGGGUCUGAGAGGAUGAUCCGCCACACUGGGACUGAGACACGGCCCAGACUCCUACGGGAGGCAGCAGUGGGGAAUUUUGGACAAUGGGCGCAAGCCUGAUCCAGCCAUGCCGCGUGAGUGAAGAAGGCCUUCGGGUUGUAAAGCUCUUUCGGUGGGGAAGAAAUUGCUUCGGUUAAUACCUGGAGUAGAUGACGGUACCCGCAUAAGAAGCACCGGCUAACUACGUG
rnacentral:rRNA from 1 species